rnacentral:rRNA from 1 species
GGAUGAACGCUAGCGGCAGGCUUAAUACAUGCAAGUCGAGGGGCAGCGGGGUAGCAAUACCGCCGGCGACCGGCAAACGGGUGCGGAACACGUACAGAACCUUCCUUUAAGCGGGGGAUAGCCCAUAGAAAUGUGGAUUAAUACCCCAUAGUAAUACUAGCUGGCAUCAGUUGGUAUUUAAAGAUUUUAUCACUUAAAGAUGGCUGUGCGGCUGAUUAGGUAGUUGGUGUGGGAACGGCCACCAAGCCAGCGAUCAGUAACUGGUGUGAGAGCACGACCAGUCACACGGGCACUGAGACACGGGCCCGACUCCGUACGGG